CGCCUGAAGCAGAGGGACAGAGAGAGAACAAUGAGAGGUGAGGACAGUGAAGAGUGGAGGGGCUAAUCCUGCAAGGCCUCGUGGGUCAUCCUGAAGCACUGGGCUUCAUUUGCAGCGUGAGGGUCCAUCUCCAGUUUGGAGCUGAGGAAUGACAUGAGGUGACAUAGGUAUACUAACAGGGAGCCCCUCCAAUGACCCCACGUAUAAGCAUCCUAGCUGAACGGAGGACUCCAGAAUUCCCAGCCCAGCUUCCAGGCAUACCAGAGUGUGUUAUCAGUCCCUUCUGAAUGACAGAACUGGGAGUCCCAAGUCACCAAAUGAAACUUGAUCAGGCUCAGAAUUUAACCCAGCCUACCUCCCUUCAGAGCUCACAACGAAGCUACAAGCUACGCCACCAAGAGCCAUUUUUCACCUCUUUCUUAGUCCCAAGCAAACUGUUCAAUCAGACUAUCAAAGGUUUCGUCUAUGUCAACAGACAAGCUUCCCGGUCUACGUGAGAAGUCUACACGCACAGGACUGUCAGAGCAUCAGAACACAGCUCUCCCAGUGCUUCUCCAAAUGAACUGUCUGCAGUUCUAAAACAAGUCAGUACACCCCGAGAAAGAUGUCUCCAAGAGCCAUUUAACUCACAACCUCAGCCAGGGCUUGCUCCCACCUGCCAUGGUUAGCCAUGUUGUCCAGGAGAAUGAGGGGUUCUCAUUUGUAUAAAACAACCUGAUGGGAGCAUCACACACAUACUUCUCUCCACUCAGAGAGCCAUAGACCCGGACACUCAACUCAAAGAGAGAAAUGGGGCCUAUGCAGAUGCCACAGCAGAGGGAGAAGGUCCCCAGAUCCACGGGAUGUCCCCAUCUCCCCACACCACAGGGGACCCAGGCAUGUCUCUCAGUCUCAUUGCUGCCACCACUGUGUCAGCAUCUCUUCCCUGAUCCCUUGAGCAGCAAAGGAACAGCUUUGUAUCAACUUCCCAAUAUCCUAGCUACUACUGGUCAGACAAACACAUACUCCCUCCUGGUGGUUCCCAGGUACUUUAUCUGUUGUAACAAGUAGAAACAUUACAUAGAAACAACAAGAGUUCCUUAUAAAGCCAAAAGGUCAAAGGAAAACAGGGUAACUAAAUAAAAUCACCUUCAAGCCAGAGACGGUUGGAUGCAGCGCAGCUGGCUUCGCUUUAUUCAUGUCUUCGGACAAGUAGCUUGUUAUUUCUGAGCUUUCGAAUUCCCAGUUUUCACAUUUCUCCAGGUUAAUAAAGUAAGAAGGUUGAACUAUAUUAUGGCUAUAGCUUCCUA